UACGUAGGGGGCAAGCGUUGUCCGGAUUUAUUGGGCGUAAAGAGCGUGUAGGCGGCCAAGCAGGUCCGCUGUGAAAACUCGAGGCUCAACCUCGAGACGUCGGUGGAAACCGUUUGGCUAGAGUCCGGAAGAGGAGAGUGGAAUUCCCGGUGUAGCGGUGAAAUGCGCAGAUAUCGGGAAGAACACCCGUGGCGAAGGCGGCUCUCUGGGACGGUACUGACGCUGAGACGGCGAAAGCAUGGGGAGCGAACGGG
rnacentral:rRNA from 1 species